AUUGAACGCUGGCGGCAUGCUUUACACAUGCAAGUCGGACGAGUGGCGAACGGGUGAGUAAUGUCUCGGAACGUACCGAGUAAUGGGGGAUAACUAAUGGAAAGAUUAGCUAAUACCGCAUAUUAUUCGAGCGGCCCAUAUGUGAUUAGCUAGUUGGUGGGGUAAAGGCCUACCAAGGCGACGAUCAGUAGCGGGUCUGAGAGGAUGACCAGCCACACUGGAACGGAGACACGGCCCAGACUCCGACGGGAGGCAGCAGGGGGGAAUUUUGGACAAUGUGCGCAAGCCUGAUCCAGCCAUGCCGCGUGUCUGAAGAAGGCCUUCGGGUUGUAAAGGACUUUUAUCAGGGAAGCGGUACCUGAAGAAUAAGCACCGGCUAACUACGUGCCAGCAGCCGCGGUAAUUC
rnacentral:rRNA from 1 species